GCAAUUUGAUCUCUGGUUCCUCUGCCUUUUAUAAAUCCAGCUUGUACAUCUGAAAGUUCUUGGUUCACAUACUGCUGAAGCCUUAGCUUGAAGGAUUUUGAGCAUUACUUUGCUAGCAAGUGAAAUCAGUGCAAUUGUGCUGUAGUUUGAACAUUCUUUGGCAUUGCCCUUCUUUGGGAUUGAAAUGA